AGUUGUCUUGGGCCACACACUAAAUACACACACACUAAUGACAACUGGUGAGCAAAAAUAAAGGUUUUAAGUAAAUUUAUGAUCUUGUGUUGGGCCGCAUCCAUUGCCAUCCUGGGCUGCGUGUGGCCCAUGGGCCGCGGGUUGGACGCCCCUGCCAGUAUACCUACAAAUUAGGAAACAGG